rnacentral:misc_RNA from 1 species
CCGGAAAGUUCCGUCAGAGGCUUCGUCCUGUUAGUACUGUUUUGGUUGCGCAGCCCUUCAAACCCUUUGGUGUUUGCGUUGGAGUAUUCGCUAACAUGCAGUGGCAAGCGUUUUUAGACGCUCUCAAUUCCAAACUACGAGCUGCAAAUUUUCUGAAUGAAAUUGAUCGAAAUAGGGGCUCGGAGCUUGAAGUAAUGUCAUGUCUCAUCACAGACUCAGACAUCAGAAGAUUCAUGCUCCGUUGGAUGGCAGAUCAAUUCCAAUCGAGAGAUCUUAAGUCCAAAGAAAAAGCAAAACAUCUGAGAGAUCAGGGAAACAAACAAUUUCAAAUAAAGAAUUAUCAAGCUAGCAUACCCCUUUAUACCAAAAGUGCUCAAUAUGCUCCAGUUGAAUGCGAUGACUUAUCAAUUGCUAUAGCAAAUAGAUCUGCAGCACUUUAUUAUAUGGAUAAUUUUGAAGACUGCCUGAAAGACAUCGAUUUAGCGAUAAGCAGCGGAUAUCCCAAAAAGUUGCAACAUAAAUUAUACCUACGUUCUGCACAGUGUUACCUUAAGUUGAAAAAUCGAAAAAAGGCUGAAGUAGCUCUUAGAAAAGUUGAGGAGAUUAUUAAGACUUACAACGAAUUCCCAGUGGACAAGAAAGAUGAUAUUAGAAAAGAAGUCUCUGUUUUGGAAACAUUUAUAUCACAGCUAGAAAACAAUGCAGCAAUUGAAAAUACAACAAAUCAGUCAUGCUUGCGACCAGAUUUAGCUUUUGGACACAAUGAAAAUUUUCCAUAUGCAUCAGCUGCCUUAGAUUGUAAAUAUACACCACAGAAGGGAAGAUACGUUGUAGCCAACAGAGACAUUAAAAAAGGAGAUGUUCUGUUUGUUGAAAAACCAUUUGCCUUUGUUCUAUUGGAUUAUGAACAUCCAAGUUCAAACUGUAGACACUGCUGCCAUCCCUAUGAUGGAAUUCCUGUACCCUGCAAAACGUGCCUUGAUACAAUGUACUGCAGUCUCAGUUGUCUCAAGGAUGCAUGGUCCUUAUAUCAUAAGUGGGAAUGUCCAGGAAGUCAAAUAGGCAUAGGCCAACAAAUUGGAAUUGCACAUCUUUCUUUGAAAGUCUUAUUAAAUGCAGCAACAACUCAAGAUUCAAACAGAUUUAACGAGGUGCAGAAAUUAGUUACAAAUAUCGAUAAACUAACAACCGAAGAUCUCCUGGUUUAUGGAAUAACGGCCGUAAUGCUCACGCUCUACUUAUAUCAAUACACAGACUUCUUCAGAACAAUCGACUUAAAAAAAUCAUUCAUUGACAAAUUUUCAACUAACAUUGUUAACUUUGAUUGCAAUUUGUCAACGGAGAGUGGGAAACAGUUGUACAUAAGUUCCUUAUUGCUGAAACAUACAUUGCAGUUGAUAUGUAACGGUCAUGCUAUAACAAAACUGACCUUAGACUCGCAAGAAAAUGAUAAAGUUGUCACGGAACAACAGGAAAGAGUAGCUACAGGAAUUUAUACAUCAGCAAGUAUGAUGAAUCAUUCCUGUGAUCCAAAUAUAAUUAAUAGCUUUGAUGACCAGUAUCUCAUCGUCAAGGCAACAAAGGACAUCCCUGCCGGUGACGAAGUACUUAACUGCUACGGUCCCCAUUACCGAAGAAUGUCGCGAGAUGAAAGACAAGAACUUCUAAGAGUUCAGUACUGUUUCACGUGCACGUGUGAACCAUGCACAAGCCCUGAAUUACAAUACUUUUUGGAAAGAUUUAGUGCCUUGAAAUGUCCAGAAUGUAGUGGUGCCGUUUUCAAAGUUUAUUCAUCUUUGAACUGCUUGGAUUGCGGCGUAUCUCCUGCGAUAAAUUACGCCGCCGAACUGAGGGAGGCACAGUCUCUUUUUGAUGCAGCCCAAGUUUGUAUAGAAUUAGAACAGGAUGCAGAGGCAUUAAAUAAACUCAAACAAUGCUUGAAUAUUAGACGAAGUGUACUUUACAAACAUCAUGAAUACAUAACAAAUACUCUUGAUCUUAUUGGAAAAGUCUACGCUAUUUCGGGUAAAUGGCUGGAUUCAAUUUCCUACCUGGAACAUAUUAUUGCUGGAAUCGAAGAAAGGUUCGGCUCAGAUAGCAUAGAGCUUGCUAACGAGUUGAACAAAAUUACAGAUAUUUGUCUUCAAUAUUUGCAAGAGGAAACUAAAACGAGAACAAAACAGUACAAGAAUGUUCUGAAGAAAACUCGUAGAUUUUUAAACCGAGCAGAAGAAAUAAUGCAAUUAAAUUACGGCCCCUGGAACGGAGGUUGUCAAGAAAUCACGAAGAAAUCUGAACAACUAUCUACCAUAUUGAAAAACUACAACAUUUAACUGGUCAUUACAAUCUGGUAGCCCGCUCGCCGAUAUAAGGUCAAUCCUGUUAAAAAGUUGUCAAUCAUUGAUAAACUCCCAUUUUUAUAAUCCUCACUAUCAUCCUACACCAACUACCGAUCAAGAAAUGAUAAGCAGACUUUCCAAGUUCCAGGCACUACCAGCCAACAUCCCAGCAUUUCAGUUUGGACAAGGAGACUACAAUCACUGCGAUAAAUACCCGUAACACAAGCUAAAGACAGCUGCCCGGGAAAAACCAAGUAAUCUGCAGCAUAAAUGAAAAAGUCACGUAAUUAUAUCGCAACGAGUUUU